rnacentral:sRNA from 1 species
CAUUACAACUGGAUUCUAUAUAGAGAGCUGGUGUUGUAUAUCUGCUGCUACUUAGGCGACAAUUGUAAAGCCUAUCAACCAAACAUGGUUGAUAGGUUGGUUGGCAUAUUUGAAAUAUUUCAGUUUCUCAUUCUGGCGACGGCCAUUUCGUUAUUCCUAAUACUGAACUGAAGCAAGACUUUUAGGACACACAUUUGAACCAACACCAUGCACUCCAAGUCAUCUCCUGGUAAUUCAAAUAUUCCACCUAGGGAAGUUUUUUCUGCUUCUGGCUUAUGGAAAUGACGAUGACAGUAUUAAAAUAUUCAAAUUUUGUGUUGCAAUUUCAUAAGCAGUUUUUGAUUAUGACAACCAACCUGAAGCCACUUACUUCUUGGCAAAUAACAUUCUAGCCAACCCAUAAUCCACAUCCCAUGGCAUGGUGGUCGCUCUCUGGCGCUCGUUUAAACAGCCACCAACCGGUUGUACUCUGCUGAUAUCAGCUUUGGAGUUACCUUCUGUGUUUUUUACAAAUCCCUGGAAAUUUUUGGUCAUAUGACUAGCUGUCUGUUUGUCAGUCUAUCUGCCUCGACACUCGAAACAAUUUGAUGGGCGUUCCUUAUUAUUACUCUCAAGGUGUAUUCAUAUUGUCAUUUGCGGUGUGGAGGUAAUGGUGAUGAAGACAUCCUCCUCCAAAGCACCAAAGAGUCAAAGGAGCCAAAGCCAACACAUUUACCAAACUCGAAUUCUACUCACCAACCAUAUUUCGUCAAGUCGAAAGAGUUGCAGGAGGUUUGUGACAUAAGAACACUUUGAAGCAACAUUAAAAUUCCAACUGAAAGUCAGCGUAUUUUUGAUUUUCUAUUUGGACAAACCACAAAGGCGAAUCAACAGAAAUCCGAAAGAUUACAUUAUUAAUGUCCAUUAUGUUCUGUUUCAACAUAUGCAAACGUGGACAAAAACCACUUGGAGAUGGAAAAAAAAAAUAUAUAACUACAUA